rnacentral:rRNA from 1 species
UACGAAGGGGGCUAGCGUUGUUCGGAAUCACUGAGCGUAAAGCGCACGUAGGCGGAUCUUUAAGUCAGAGGUGAAAUCCCAAGGCUCAACCUUGGAACUGCCUUUGAUACUGAAGAUCUUGAGUUCGGGAGAGGUGAGUGGAACUGCGAGUGUAGAGGUGAAAUUCGUAGAUAUUCGCAAGAACACCAGUGGCGAAGGCGGCUCACUGGCCCGAUACUGACGCUGAUGCACGAAAGCGUGGGGAGCAAACAGG